rnacentral:rRNA from 1 species
ACGGGUGAGUAACGCGUGGGAAUCUACCUUUUGCUACGGAAUAACUCAUGGAAACUUGUGCUAAUACCGUAUGUGUCCUUCGGGAGAAAGAUUUAUCGGCAAGAGAUGAGCCCGCGUUGGAUUAGCUAGUUGGUGGGGUAAAGGCCUACCAAGGCGACGAUCCAUAGCUGGUCUGAGAGGAUGAUCAGCCACACUGGGACUGAGACACGGCCCAGACUCCUACGGGAGGCAGCAGUGGGGAAUAUUGGACAAUGGGCGCAAGCCUGAUCCAGCCAUGCCGCGUGAGUGAUGACGGUCUUAGGAUUGUAAAGCUCUUUCACCGGUGAAGAUAAUGACGGUAACCGGAGAAGAAGCCCCGGCUAACUUCGUGCCAGCAGCCGCGGUAAUACGAAGGGGGCUAGCGUUGUUCGGAUUUACUGGGCGUAAAGCGCACGUAGGCGGACUUUUAAGUCAGGGGUGAAAUCCCAGAGCUCAACUCUGGAACUGCCUUUGAUACUGGAAGUCUUGAGUAUGGUAGAGGUGAGUGGAAUUCCGAGUGUAGAGGUGAAAUUCGUAGA